GGUAGACGAGAACGAAGCAAGGUCAGUAGCUCGGAGAGCAGUAGUACUUCAGACACCACGCCCGCUACAUCCCUCCAGUCUCCACGCCACCACCGACCCCUCGAGUCUACGCAGCCCAGUGGCCGUGUGUGUCUUGGUGUUGGGCGUGACGUGCAGUAUCGGCGGUAAUAGCAACGGGAAGCUUGAUCUACAGCACAGCACAGCACAGCACAGCACAGCGGAGAGAUUGGUAGUGAGUUGACGAUCCAAAGGCCUGACUACACAGCGGUAAUGAGCUUUGUGUACCUUGCACUGUCUUCACUGACAACGCCCACUACUAACCACUCUGCCUCCGCCACCGUUUCAAGAUCAGGGAAGGACUCUGCCUUGCAUCGCGCACUGUGAUGGCCGCCGCCGCCGCUGCUGCUGCUGCUAAGGGAGAAUGGUUGGUUGAGUGGGAGUUGGUGAUUCAAAGGGCGUGCUGCAGCGAUCCCGUGUGUCCUGCACCAUCAAAGAAGGACUCCGGCUUCCCACGGCGCGUUCACUGACUCUCCCCGUCACCCUACCAACUCCGGCCACCUGCUACACCACCACUAUCGCCGGCUCCGUCCAGUGAAAGAUUCAUCGCAGACCACCUGCCAUUCAACGCCUGCCGCCGCCACCACCACCACCACCUCCUUAUGGUGGAGUCACUGUACCUGGAGCUGUCCUGAUUGAAUAAUAAAUUGUGAAGAAAU